rnacentral:sRNA from 1 species
CCAAUCUCGGCGGUCUGUGCUGGAAGC